rnacentral:lncRNA from 1 species
AUUAAAAGUUCUUGAAAAAAAUCUGAGAAAGACUGUAAACCAAAUAAACUAGUAUCAUAAUAACACACACCACAAAUGUAAAAAGGUAAGUAACUAACAAGGUCAGCAAAUUUUUUAUUAUUUUUCCUUUGAUAACAAAAUAGGUUUAGUAACCCCUGGUCACUAAACUCACAUAAUCCUGUGUGUGUGUGUGUGUGUGUGUGUGUGUAUGUGUGUGUAAGUAAAGAUACAUACAUUACACACAGUUUUUACAUUUAUAUUUUAAAUGCUGUGGAAAAGGAAAGGUUUAGUUCUUUUCCAUAAAUAGAAUUAAUACAAACUGAAUGAAUAGUAUCUACAACAGAAAUCCUGAAAUUUUCCUUCUGAAGGCAUAAAUUGCUUUCAUUAACAUUAAGCAGAGCACACACAAUCUCUCCAACACAAACCAAGAAAACACAUUAAUGAAGGGACCACCCACUUCUCCAUCUUUUCUGAUAGUUUUCUUGUAACGCAAAGCUGAACUAGCAACAUCAUCUAACUAGAAGAAACAAUUAAAUGGCUCCUGCUCUUCUACAUAAACUGACGGAUAUAGGAUGAAAGAAACAUCUGGGCCUGUCUAUAUCAGCGAACCACAGCUUGCAGUCACUUCACCUUCAGCGGGGUCUGCUGUGACCUAAUUAAAACUGCUGGUUCCAGAAGUUGUCUAAU